rnacentral:rRNA from 1 species
UACGUAGGGUCCGAGCGUUGUCCGGAAUUAUUGGGCGUAAAGGGCUCGUAGGCGGUCUGUUGCGUCGGGAGUGAAAACUUACAGCUUAACUGUGAGCGUGCUUUCGAUACGGGCAGACUUGAGGCAUUCAGGGGAGAACGGAAUUCCUGGUGUAGCGGUGAAAUGCGCAGAUAUCAGGAGGAACACCGGUGGCGAAGGCGGAUCUCUGGGCCAUUACUGACGCUGAGGAGCGAAAGCGUGGGGAGCGAACAGG